rnacentral:ncRNA from 2 species
ACGCAUGUUGCGGGAGAGAGCGGCCAGGCACUGCCGGCCGCCGCCGAAGGCGCAAUUCGCCCGGAAUCGCUCAGGUAACCCAUACCGCCCAUGCUUG